UUCACUGGUUCUUUUAUACAUGGCUUAAUUACUGCAUAUCAUAUUCCCAUAAUUAAAUAAUAACAAUAUCAAUAAUCAUUUUACUGUAAUAUAAUAAAUAUAUAUAUAUAUAACUAUUUUUAUUGACAAUUUUCUAAUUUACAUACAACCUACAUAUUUGUAAAACUUGAUAUACAAUACCUUGUUGGCUUGAUCUUUUGACAGAAUCAGUAUACAAGUGAUACAACUUUAUUAUUGCCAACCGUCGACGAUUGCCCAGCUAGCAAGAUCACAACCUCGCUAGUAUAAAGUAUAAAAUAUAGCUAGUUCACACAUAGCUAGCAAGUUUGGUACAGUUACACAGAGUUCACAAUUCACUGCUUUUUUGAAAAACAUAAUAUGAACGGCUCCUUUAAUUUUGACUUGAUUUGACCAAAUGAUCGCCACGAAC